AAAAAACCUCAGUCUCAGUCACUUCUCUUCUUCACGCUCACGACUCAUCUUCACUCUCGACCCUUCUCUUCAUCUUCACAAUCGCGCUCUUCCCUUCUCUUCAUCUUCACGCAACCGCACCGUAAGUCGUUGUGCCACCCACCACAAGCUCAUUGCUCCACUAGACCAGGUCUACGACUUGCCAGCUGUCGCUGCACCUGGGUCCCAUUUUCGAGGAUUAGGGUAAUUUGGAAGCCAUUGGAUGGGUUUGAACCCGGCAUACGAAGUGGAGGUGAAGCGUGUGUCACAGAUAUUAGUGGCGUUCGUUAACGACAUUGAGGAAGUGUUCGAUGCGAUGGUGAUGCCGGCUCAAAGCAUACAAAACUUGAUUCCAGAAAAGGGCUAGCCCCUCGAGACGGAGCAGAUGUUCCGUGAAGCAGGGGAACCCUGACCCAUUGUCAUCCUCGACAAGGAGCUCUCGCAAAUCGCACCCCCUACCAAAGUGCGUUUCCAUUUUCUCUUUUUCAAUUUUAUUUGUUUGGCCUGUAAUAUUUAAGCAUGUGAUUAGGCUUUCAAAUGUAAGUAUCAGUUCCUUAAGCAUGUGAUUAGGAGUUUGAGCCAUAAGUCUUUGUGUAUGGAAGAACAUCUAUUUAGAGAAAUCGGUUCGUUAAAUGGAUCUAUUUACCUCGAAAGAUUAGAAUUUUACUCUUGAGUGGUGGAUAACUUGGACACACUAAAAAGAUGGUGGAUACCUUGGAUACACUAGUGAAUUAAAUUUAAGUUUGUAUGAUUUUGAA